GUUUGUUUCGUUUCUAUCUCGCGCGAAAUGCGCUAUCUCUCCAGGCGCUCAUCACGCAGGAGCUGGCGCUGGAUCGCAUUGCGAUUCUAUCAUAAUGCCGCGGUAUGUGAAAUCGUGGUUGGCUCUCGGCACGACAAGGCGGAAGCGAGCAGCGUCUUCUCGGUGCUGGCGGCAUUGCGAUCGUGCGCGAGCGCCAAGAAUCUGGAGAGGGGGAAGAGAGUUCACGCGCAGGCCAUGGAAAGGGGCUACGAUUCCAACGUUUUCGUGGCAAACAGCCUGGUAAACAUGUACGCCAAGUGUGGGAGCUUGGUGGAGGCUCGCCGGGUGUUCGAUAGGAUCCAGUCGCGAGACGUGGUCUCCUGGAACUCCCUGCUACUGGGCUAUGCGUCACAGGGAGAAGAAGACGCUGCUCUCAAGCUCUUCUCGAGGAUGGAGUCUAGCGGCUGCUCUCCAAACGGUGGAAGCUACAUCGCUGCUCUCAAAGCUUGCAUCCGCUUGGCCGGGAAAGAGGAAGGGACCGCUCAAGCAGAUGGAAGACUUGUGAAGAUCGCGUCUCUCGGCAAAGGGAUCGCGAUCCACACGCAGGCUUCCAAGGCCGGCUGGGAGUCGGAUAUCUUCGUCGCGAGCACGCUCGUGGAUUUCUACGCGAAGUGUGGCCACAUGACAGAAGCUAGCAGGAUCUUCUCCAGGAUGUCUCACCACGACGUGGUGUCCUGGACGACUUUGAUACUGGGCUACGCUGAGAACGGGGAAGGAGAUGUGGCUCUCGAGCAUUUCUUCCGGAUGAUCGCGCAGUGCUGCCAGCCAAACGCCCUCACUUGCGUCGCGGCGCUCAAGGCUUGCAUGACGCUGGCAGCGAAAGAACAAGGGAGGCUGGUCACUGGAAAGAUGGUGAAGCUGGAAUCACUUGAAAAGGGAAUGGCCGUGCACCGCGAAGCGUCCAAGCUCGGCUGUGACACACACACGUUCGUCUCAAACUCACUUGUGGACAUGUACUCCAAGUGUGGAAGCAUGGCCGACGCUCACCGCGUGUUUUCCCGGAUGUCGUGCCACAGCGUGGUUUCCUGGACGUCGCUGAUACUGGGAUACGUCGAGAAUGGCGAUGGUGAAAUGGCUCUAGCGGUUUACUCGAGCAUGAGGCCGGAAGCUUGCGCACCAGACGCCAGGACUUUCGUUGCGGCGCUAAAUGCUAUCAACGAGCUGGCUGCGAAAGAGCAAGGCGAGCUAGUCGACGGGAAGCUUGUGAAGCUCGAGUGCCUGAAGAAGGGGAUGCGGAUUCACUCGCAGGCCGAGGGAAGCGGCUGCGCAGACUACUUCUUCAUCAACACGCUGGUGGACUUGUACGCGAAGUGUGGGAGUUUGGCCGAUGCUCACCGUGUCUUCGACAGCAUUCCCUCCCAGACAUCAGUCUCGUGGACAACGCUACUGCUGGGAUACGCCGAGAACGGUGAAGGCGAGAUGGCUUUGGAGCUCUUCCGGCGUAUGAGACCUCGAGGAUGCGAGCCCGACGCUCGGACCUUUGCGGCCGUGUUGAAAGCAUGCGGCAGCGUUUUGGCACUCGAGAACGCGAAGGUCAUCUAUGGUGAAGUCUGUAGAGGUGGCUACGAGAAUGACGUGAUUCUAUCCAACACCAUGGUCGACGCAUUGGCGAGAUGCGGGAGCCUGGACGCUGCUCAACGAGUCUUCGACGUUUCCAUCGCCAAGGACAUUGUGCUAUGGACGACGCUUAUAGCAGGAUACAGCCGCCAAGGCGAGGCAAGCCAGGUGUUCCAUCUCUUUCACGAGAUACUGGACGAAGGCUUCAAGGCGGACAGCGUGACUUUGCUGUGCGUGCUCGCGGUUUGCAGCUAUGCCGGCCUCGUGGGCAAAGGCCGGGGUCUCUUCAGCUCGAUGGCUUCCAGAUAUGGCGUCUCUCCCGGCUUCGAGCACCACCACUGCAUGCUCGACAUACUUUGCCGUGCCAACCAGCUGGACGCUGCCGUGCAACUCAUACGAUCGAUGCCUUUCGAGCCGACUGCGGUGACAUGGAGGACGGUCCUCGGUGCUUGCCGGAAGUGGAAGAAUGUGGUGCUUGGCGAGCUCGCUUUCGCGAAUCUACUGAAGCUGGACGACUCCGAGUUUGGAGUCUAUAUCCUGAUGGAACAGAUAUACUGGAGCCUGGGAAUGUGGGAGGAGCACGCCAGGAUCGAGACAAUGAGGAUCAGUGCUGGAGCUUGGAGAAAGCCUGGACAGGGUCGCAGCUGGUGGACGGACAGCGCGGGAGUGGUGCAUAAGUUCUCGGCUGGUGAUUCUAGCCACGCACAGAUUGACGAGAUCCGGGCGAAGCUGGACGAUCUCCUGGUGGCCAUGAAAGAGCAAGGAUACGUCGCGGACGUGGGGAGUGUGCUGCGAAGCACGUCCGACGAGGACAAGGAGGAUGUCCUGUGCGGGCAUAGCGAGAGGCUCGCCAUCGCCUGUGCUCUUAUCAACACUGCGCCGGGGGCGACAGUCCGGAUCGUGAAGAACCUGAGAACUUGCGACGACUGCCACAGGGCGACUUGCAUGAUCUCCCGGAUAGAAGAGCGGCGGAUUCUGUGCAGGGAGACGAACAGGUUCCAUGUUUUCGAGGAUGGGAGGUGCUGCUGUGGAGGCUACUGGUAGAAGAAGCGUAGGUGUUGCUGUUUCGAGGAGUGAUUGGAAAUGCGAAACGCGCCACCCCUUCGUCGACGACUGUUUGGAGGCUUGGUAAGUUUCCUCGUUGUCUUUGUUUAAGCUUACGUUAUUCCAGGCAGAGGAAGUCUUUGUAUAUACUUUGGUGUUUUGCAGGACUUGGUGAUGGGGUUGUACUAGAAAGUGGUAAAGACUUGGUGAAUAAAUGUGAUUGAGAUCAUGUACCGGAGCCUCACGGACGGUGCUCCAGACGGAAGCCACAUCGCUGCUCUCAAAGCUUGCAUUCGCUUGGCCGGGAAAGAAGAAAGCGGAUGGAAGACUUGUAAAGGUCGCGUCUCUCCCCAAAGCUCGAUCCACUCGCAAGAUACUGAGUAGCUGAUGGAGAUGGCAUUUGAAAUACACGCACAGACUUCGGAUAGGCUAAAGACACCCGAAGAGAUUGCAAAGGAGGAGCUCGAGGCAGAAACUGAGAACUUGCGACGACUGUCACAGAGCGACUUGCAUGAUCUCCUGGAUAGAACAGCCGCAGCAGCACCUCCCAUCCUUGAAAACAUGGAACAUGUUCGUCUCCCUACACAGAAUCCGCCAAGGCUAGAACAAGUGUCCAGUUUCUCUCUGAUGUAUUAAAGUUUGCGGAGUGAUUUGAAGUGCGAAGCGCGCCACCAUCGCAAGCUUGAGAGAUCCUCGUCGGCAGUUCUUUCAGGACGUGUAGAUCAAACAAUGCGAAGCACCAAAUUCGGCCAAGUACGAAAGAGUGAUGUGUUCGAAUCCGUGCCCCGACAUGCUUGGGAAAAUAAAAGGAGUGAUCAGUUUGUUUUA